GCCGGGCGAGGUGGCGGGCGCCUGUAGUCCCAGCUACUCGGGAGGCUGAGGCAGGAGAAUGGCGGGAACCCGGGAGGCAGAGCUUGCAGUGAGCCGAGAUUGUACCACUGCACUCCAGCCUAGGUGACAGAGUGAGACUCUCUCUCAAAAAAAAAAGAUAACUAUGUCAGGGGAAGAAUAUAUUUCUUUAUUGAAGUUUUUUUUGUAUGCGAGAGGGAGGGGUGUUUUGUGUCACCCAGGCUGGAGUGCAGUGGCGCGAUCUCGGCUCACUGCAAGCUCCGCCUCCCAGGUUCAGGCCAUUCUCCUGCCUCAG
ensembl:misc_RNA Metazoa_SRP Metazoan signal recognition particle RNA